rnacentral:rRNA from 1 species
UACGUAGGGGGCUAGCGUUGUCCGGAAUCAUUGGGCGUAAAGCGCGCGUAGGCGGCCCGGUAAGUCCGCUGUAAAAGUCCAGGGCUCAACCCUGGAACGCCGGUGGAUACUGUCGGGCUAGAGUCCGGAAGAGGCGAGUGGAAUUCCUGGUGUAGCGGUGGAAUGCGCAGAUAUCAGGAAGAACACCCGUGGCUAAGGCGGCUCUCUAGUACGGUACUGACGCUGAGACGCGAAAGCGUGGGGAGCGAACAGG